rnacentral:lncRNA from 1 species
AUCGGAAAAGAAUUUCCAAGAAAACACCUCAUAAAUUAUCUCGGGCAUUCUCAAUUCUCAAUUCUCAAUUCUCAUCAACCAAAAAACUUGUCAUAAUUUCCACAUCAUAACCUAAAAGGUCUCCCAGAUCUUGACUUUUUAAAAUGCUCGUUUUUCAUGUUCACGGGUCUUUUCGACAAAUUCGGUUUUUCCGAUUUUAACCUCUCAUUUGCAAUAUCUUGAAACGGAUUCUUUCCAUCAAAUUCGGUUUUUGAAAUCCUUACUUUCUUCCUCUUUCCUCUGUCAUAUUCUUCAUCCCUGAUAAAUUAUAACAAAAAGUGGUCAAGGGUUAUGCAUAAGAGUUUAUAAAGAUUAAAAUACAUGUAAAAAAAUCAGCUUUAAAACUCACCAUUCAUCUCCAAUGUAACCAAUGGUGAGAUCUCGUUUUCUUUCUCUUAUAUGAGAAGUUGUCGACUCCCCUUCAUCCCAACGAGGGACUGAAAUCACACAAACAUAAGUCAAAAAACGGUCAAACUUCUUUUUUCCUUCAAUUUCCCAAAACGUCCCUUUCUUUUUUGACAUUAAUGGAUAUUAUUAUAACCAAAAUGCAGCAAAAAAAAAAAUUUUAAAAUUACUCACCAGUUCUGUCAUCUAAACCUCUUGUAAGCAAAUGAAGCAAAUCUUUUUGUGUUGAAUUAUCCCUCAAAUGAUUUGAUUGGAUUCCUGUUGAGACACCAUUUAAGUCAUUUGUUGCAAGAACAGCUCCAUCUUUAUUAACCCUCUCUUUGAAUCCAUUUUCAACUGGAGGUUUGACCACAUCCUGUUCUUUGACUUUUUUAGAUGAAGGUUGACCUUCAUUGACCGACUUUUCUUUAUCAAGUUUCUUGAUCUUUUUGCCUUGCUUAUGUUUCUUUUUCUUCCUUCGGUUUAAUGAAGUCCCCAUUAGAACAUUUGCACUGACUUUCAUACUUACAAUUUUCUUGCACUUCAAAAAGUUCUUUACUUUCUUGUUGGGUUUCCGGUCAACAUCCUUCUUCUUGGUCAAACUUCCCAUUUCUGGUAAGUUCUUUGCUUUCUUGUGGACUUUUUGGUCAUGAGGUUCCUUGUUGGUCAAACUUUCCAUUUUUGGCAAGUCUGGUGUAUCUACUACCAUUGCAGCCCCCUUUUCACCAUCACCACCACUAUUGCUUCCAACAACCAACUCACCUCUACCAUUUUCCUGUAAACUUAUACAAUUAAAAAUGAGAAAAGAACAAACUAAUAAACUCCAUACAAAAAAUGAGAAAUUUUUACCUUCAAAGUUUCACCCUUAUCUGUUUUACU